UGAACUUUAUUUAAAUCCAGUAUUUCUAACAGGUCUUAUGUUAACGCAUAAUUUUAUGCAAGGUUAAGUCCUUUUUCUUGUGUGUAACUAACAAGUAAGUGGAACUUUCUAGUUCGUGCCUAUAGGCAGAGUAACACUUUUUGAAAUAAGGCUAAAAGUUGGGGAAAUGGUAAAUUUUAACGAAUUUUUGAAGAAAACUACGACGUUCGACGUUCGAUAAUUAGGAAUGAAGAAAGGAACCAGAUCCAGACAGGGCAAUUAAGAAAUUGUUAAGAAUGAAGUUGUCAAGUACUCAUGUUAGAUUAAUAGGAGAGAAACUUUAAUUAAGUAACAUGAAGAUAUUAUCGGCAUUUAAUGGGUUAAUUAAUGGGAAAAUAUGCCAAAAGUUGCUUAUAUCGCAUAUAUAUUAAGUAAAAUAGCCAUAAAUUAUAAAAGAACGAAAACUCGAUAAAGUCAAGUUUGAUGCUUUUAACAAGACUUAAAUUAUGGCCAAUAUUUUCAUAUUUAUCAAACGUAUUAAAUUAUUCAAUUUAAAAUAAAUAAUUUGAUUUUUAAAUUAAACGUUUUACUUAUGUUAUUUG